AGGCGCGUAGCUUAGUGGCUUGGGGUGUUCAGCUCAUGAUCGUAAGGUCGCGAGUUCAAUUCUCGUUGUGUCCU
rfam:Octopus bimaculoides Scaffold297181_contig_1, whole genome shotgun sequence.